rnacentral:rRNA from 1 species
CCUACGGGUGGCAGCAGUGAGGAAUAUUGGUCAAUGGCCGUAAGGCUGAACCAGCCGAGUCGCGUGAAGGAAGAAGGAUCUAUGGUUUGUAAACUUCUUUUGUCAAGGGACAAAAUCAGGCUCGAGAGCCUGACCGAGGGUACUUGAAGAAAAAGCAUCGGCUAACUCCGUGCCAGCAGCCGCGGUAAUACGGAGGAUGCGAUCGUGUUCCGGAUUUAUUGGGUGUAAGGGGUGCGUAGGCGGGCUGUUAAGUCAGCGGUAAAAGCCCGGGGCUCAACCCCGGCGAGCCGUUGAAACUGGCUGUCUUGAGAUGUCGAGAGGUAUGCGGAAUGCGCAGUGUAGCGGUGAAAUGCUUAGAUAUCACGAAGAACUCCGAUUGCGAAGGCAGCUCACUGGACUGCAACUGACACUGAGGCUCGAAAGUGUGGGUAUCAAACAGGAUUAGAUACCCUUGUAGUC